GUGGGGAAUAUUGCGCAAUGGGGGAAACCCUGACGCAGCGACGCCGUGUGAGGGAAGAAGGCUUUCGGGUCGUAAACCUCUGUCAGAAAGGAAGAACCUCCCAAGUCCGAAUAGGGCUUGGGACUGACGGUACUUUCAAAGGAAGCACCGGCUAACUCCGUGCCAGCAGCCGCGGUAAUACGGAGGGUGCAAGCGUUAAUCGGAAUCACUGGGCGUAAAGCGCGCGUAGGCCGCUUUGUAAGUCGGACGUGAAAGCCCUCGGCUCAACCGGGGAACUGCGUUCGAUACUGCGAGGCUUGAGUCCUGGAGAGGGUGGCGGAAUUCCGGGUGUAGGAGUGAAAUCCGUAGAUAGCCGGAGGAACACCGGUGGCGAAGGCGGCCACCUGGACAGGUACUGACGCUGAAGCACGAAAGCGUGGGGAGCAAACAGGAUUAGAAACCCCAGUAGUCC
rnacentral:rRNA from 1 species